AGGCAACUUACUCUCCAUUCGACCUUGCAGGUCACACCAUGGUCUCAAGAGGGAAAAUGAGUGCUCUAUGGAUUGAACAGAAAAGGUGAAUCAAAACUCCAACCAUCUGUAUGAGGGUCUGGAUGGAUAAAGGAUGCCCACUGGAGCUGGAAAUGAUGGAUCAGGUGGAUCCACACUUGAACCAUCUGUAUGAUGAUCUGCACCCACUGGAUCUGUAAAUGGUGGUGCAGGUUUCUGAAUUGAUGUCAGAUGCAAAGCAGAAGCUUAUUUUCUUCCAGUUUGGCUUCAUUGUGGAAAAAUGCUUGAAACUAAAAUGCAGAAUUCUGGCCUGGUGUUUGGUCCCCCCUUUCUCUGGCUUGUGUCUCCAUCAUCAUUACACUCUUGUCAGUGUAAUAGUAUUGUCGUCUGCGUA